AGUGAACGCUGGCGGUAGGCCUAACACAUGCAAGUCGAACGGCAGCACAGUAAGAGCUUGCUCUUACGGGUGGCGAGUGGCGGACGGGUGAGGAAUACAUCGGAAUCUACUUUUUCGUGGGGGAUAACGUAGGGAAACUUACGCUAAUACCGCAUACGACCUACGGGUGAAAGCAGGGGAUCUUCGGACCUUGCGCGAUUGAAUGAGCCGAUGUCGGAUUAGCUAGUUGGCGGGGUAAAGGCCCACCAAGGCGACGAUCCGCAGCUGGUCUGAGAGGAUGAUCAGCCACACUAGAACUGAGACACGGUCCAGACUCCUACGGGAGGCAGCAGUGGGGAAUAUUGGACAAUGGGCGCAAGCCUGAUCCAGCCAUACCGCGUGGGUGAAGAAGGCCUUCGGGUUGUAAAGCCCUUUUGUUGGGAAAGAAAAGCAGCAGGUUAAUACCCCGCUGUUCUGACGGUACCCAAAGAAUAAGCACCGGCUAACUUCGUG
rnacentral:rRNA from 1 species